GAAGCUCGCCAGACCGCCGCUGGUGCAAUGCCCGAAAGGGUGCACUGGAGGAACGUCCGGACUGCACAGGACAGCGUAGGAGGUAACGCCUCUCCACCGUGAGGUGAGGAUCAGAGCAACAGAGACGAGUCGAACCGGCGCAACCUGGUUCGGGUGAAACGGGCAAUCUCUACGCGCAGCAAUACCAAGUAGGCCAACGUUGAUGUGGUUCCGCAGAGUUGGCGGGUAGGUAGCAUCGAGCCGGGUGGGCGACUCCCGGCCCAGAGUAAUGGCGGUCACACAGCGGGCAACCGCUGUGCACAGAAUCCGGCUUAUCGGCGAGCUUCACAC
rnacentral:RNase_P_RNA from 1 species